GAUGAACGCUAGCGGCAGGCUUAACACAUGCAAGUCGAGGGGCAGCGGGGAGGAAGCUUGCUUUCUCCGCCGGCGACCGGCGCACGGGUGAGUAACACGUAUGGAACCUGCCCGCAGCAGGGGGAUAAGCGGAAGAAAUUCCGUCUAAUACCGCGUAACAACGUUGGGAGGCAUCUCCCGAUGUUUAAAGAUUUAUCGGCUGCGGAUGGCCAUGCGGCGCAUUAGCUAGUCGGCGGGGUAACGGCCCACCGAGGCGACGAUGCGUAGGGGUUCUGAGAGGAAGGUCCCCCACACUGGUACUGAGACACGGACCAG
rnacentral:rRNA from 1 species